rnacentral:lncRNA from 1 species
GAAAAUUAAGCUGAAGUCGCACCUGAGGGGAAGGCUGGAAGAAUAGCUGCCCACUGCUGAGCUUCGUUCAUCAGGUCCCACCUGCAUCCGUCACUUUAAAUAUCGUACCGUCCAGCUGCAGCAGAUCAUCAGGUCCAGUUCUGGAAGCUGGAGUCCAGCUGGUAUCAGAGGUAUACGAGUCCUGAGUCUGAGGGUCUCCAGAGCUCCUCAGUAUCAGUAUCUAGAACUCAGCGCUUCAGAACCGGACUGGCCCGUUCUGGAUCUUUCUGAAGAGCCUGAAGAACCUGCCGGAACCACAGCCACAAACAGGAAGUGUGCUACGCAAAUUAUGCUACCUCUAAUACAUAAGCUCACAGAUGCCUCCUGCUGACCAACAUCACCUUUGGGUCCUAGGACUGAUGAGGGGAAAGCGCCACACACUGAACCCACCCAGAGAGAGCAAAGCCAGUUGUGCUCUCUCAAACUGCUGAUGGCAAGCUGCAUGACCGGGAUUCGAACCAGCAAUUUCCUGAUUAUAGCCAAGUCUUCAAAAUGCCAAACAUUUAGGCCAUAUUUAGUGUAAAAUCAAUGAGAAAACAUCUAAAGACUUAAUGACCAUUGGAAACAAAACCAUUGUCCUUUACCCUGUACUUUAU